rnacentral:rRNA from 1 species
GACGAACGCUGGCGGCGUGCUUAACACAUGCAAGUCGAACGGAAAGGCCCUGCUUUUGUGGGGUGCUCGAGUGGCGAACGGGUGAGUAACACGUGAGUAACCUGCCCUUGACUUUGGGAUAACUUCAGGAAACUGGGGCUAAUACCGGAUAGGAGCUCCUGCUGCAUGGUGGGGGUUGGAAAGUUUCGGCGGUUGGGGAUGGACUCGCGGCUUAUCAGCUUGUUGGUGGGGUAGUGGCUUACCAAGGCUUUGACGGGUAGCCGGCCUGAGAGGGUGACCGGCGACAUUGGGACUGAGAUACGGCCCAGACUCCUACGGGAGGCAGCAGUGGGGAAUAUUGCACAAUGGGCGGAAGCCUGAUGCAGCAACGCCGCGUGCGGGAUGACGGCCUUCGGGUUGUAAACCGAUUUCGCCUGUGACGAAGCGUGAGUGACGGUAAUGGGUAAAGAAGCACCGGCUAACUACGUG